rnacentral:rRNA from 1 species
GACGAACGCUGGCGGCGUGCUUAACACAUGCAAGUCGAACGGAAAGGCCCUGCUUUUGUGGGGUGCUCGAGUGGCGAACGGGUGAGUAACACGUGAGUUACCUGCCCUUGACUUUGGGAUAACUUCAUGCAACUUGGUCUAAUACCGGAUAGGAGCUCCUGCUUCAUGGUGGGGGUUGGAUAGUUUCGGCGGUUGGUGAUGGACUCGCGUCUUAUCAGCUUGUUGGUUGGGUAGUGUCUUACCAAGGCUUGGACGGGUAGCCGACCUGAGAGGGUGAGCGGCCAAACUGGGACUGGAAUAAGGCACAGACUAGAACGGGAGGCAGAAGAGGAGAAUAUUACACAAGGGGCGGAAGGAUGAUGUAGCAAAGCAGCGUGCGGGAUGAGGGCAUUGGGGUUGGAAACCGAUGUCGCCUGUGACGAAGCGUGAGUGACGGUAAUGGGUAAAGAAGCACCGGCUAACUACGUG